rnacentral:rRNA from 1 species
CUACGGGCGGCAGCAGUGGGGAAUAUUGGGCAAUGGGCGCAAGCCUGACCCAGCAACGCCGCGUGAGGAAAGAAGGUUUUCGGAUUGUAAACCUCUGUCCUUGGGGACGAAGAAGUGACGGUACCCAAGGAGGAAGCUCCGGCUAACUACGUGCCAGCAGCCGCGGUAAUACGUAGGGAGCAAGCGUUGUCCGGAAUUACUGGGCGGAAAGGGUGCGUAGGUGGCAUAUUAAGUCAGGUGUGAAAUACUCGGGCUCAACCCGGGGGCUGCAUUUGAAACUGAUAUGCUUGAGUGUGAGAGAGGAAAGUGGAAUUCCUAGUGUAGCGGUGGAAUGCGUAGAUAUUAGGAGGAACACCAGUGGCGAAGGCGACUUUCUGGCUCAUAACUGACGCUGAGGCACGAAAGCGUGGGGAGCAAACAGGAUUAGAUACCCCGGUAGUC